UAAGGAUCAGGAGAACAACAGAUAUGCUAAGAGACAACCUUUUGGGGUUAAUGAUAUAAACAACAACAUGGCUUAUGAGGCCGAAGAGAGCUCGAGUGGCGUCUUUUGGUUCUUGAAGACCUGCACGUUCCUGGUGGAGUAGAGCAAAAUAAUUUGGAGGCUUUAAAGCUACUGCACUUCAUGCAAAUAAACAAAAGGCAUAUGUAUUGUUACGAGUGAAGCCAUCCAUACUCCCAUGUGGAAUUCAAGAAAUAGAGAAAUGUUAUUGUUCUUCUA